CACGUAGGGCGCAAGCGUUGUCCGGAAUUAUUGGGCGUAAAGAGCUCGUAGGCGGUCUGUUACGUCUGCUGUGAAAACCCGGGGCUUAACCCUGGGCUUGCAGUGGAUACGGGUAGACUAGAGGCAGGUAGGGGAGAAUGGAAUUCCCGGUGUAGCGGUGAAAUGCGCAGAUAUCAGGAGGAACACCAAUGGCGAAGGCAGAUCGCUGGGACGGUAUUGACGCUGAGACGCGAAAGCGUGGGGAGCAAACAGG
rnacentral:rRNA from 1 species